GAAUUUUCUUUAUGGUAAAUCACAUUCAUAUCACUUUGAAAUGUUAAUUACAAGGGUUGAUUGCGUAUGCAUCUGUAACAACAAUAAAACAAAUAUGAUAAAGGCAGCCCGAUUUCAAGACUACAAAACUUCCUGAAUCAAAGAGUGAACUCUCACUAAGAGGUUUAGUCAAGAAAAUGAUGCAAGCAUGUGCAAACUCACAUACGCAUUUUGCUUCACGAAAUUGACAUACCCAUUUGUGAACGCAUGGAUGCAACGCUCCAAUCAAUUGGCAAUCGCAUGCAUCAAACUGCAGUGUCAAAAGUAACUAAGACUUGCCUUAUUUGGAUAGCAAAAUCAAUUUCUCAAACCAUGUAUGUCAUGCCAACCUGCAUGAGAUGCGAGUGCGGAACACUCAAAUUCGCAACCCCUCUUCUGCAGUUCUUUCUCAGAAAAGCAUAGAAGUAAUUUAUGACUAGCUUCUUUAUAAACCAUGAAUCCUUCCUUGCCCUUAUAUCACCAUGACCAAGAAGAUAAACAACCCCAGAUUCUUUAGCCUUGCGUAUAAAAGAAAGCUCCCUUUCAAGGCUCUGUUCUGGAUCAGACAUCGUUGGGUCAGCAGAAGUCCCUAGUUUCACCUCCUCAGAGGUGCUUGCUUCAGAAAUGGGCUUGCUUGUAUCCCUGUAGUCAUCCAAGAGAGGCACACCAAGCGAGUAAACACUUCCAUUGGGAGCUAUUAGAACCCUGGUACAAGCAGACUCUUCUUCAGAGUCUGUAUCAUCAUCCCCGUCACUCUCCAAUGACCGUUCUUGGGCUUCCCGACGAAUAAACUUCUCAAGGCUCUCGAUUAAAAGCUGUUCAAAUGCCUGGUGAUUCUCUUUGCGGACGUCCUUGUAGCCAUACCUGGCAAUACAUCGAAAUAUGUGGUAGCUUUUAGGGCAAACUCGCCGGAAAAGGAACCUUUCACCCUGAGGCACUACUGGAACCGGAACAUACUUUAUACACACAAAUAUGAUCAUGGAGUGGAUUGCUGGGAGAGUGGUAAGAAAAUGGCCAAAUAUAGCAGGAAUUCCCUUCACCAGCUCAUUAUAGAGCAAGCCAAUUCCUGGCGCUCGGAUCGUCCCAAGGUUGGGGCCUAAUUCCCGCAUUAAAUCCAUCGACAGCUUUUUCUUAACCUCAGUUUCAUAUUUUAGCUUGCUCCCAUAGUUCCAAAUGUACAUUAUAAGAAACAUAAUUGCAGCAAAAACCAAUAUUAUCCAACUUCCAUCCCCCACAAGCGCUAAAACUGAUGAGAAAAAGGUCAGUUCUAUUCCUAGGAAAAUAACCACAAAACUGAGAACGAUAAUGAUGUUUAUCUGCCAUAUAAGAAGCAUAACAAUAGUUACUAAAACUGUUGUCAUCAUCAUCACCCCCAGCUCAGCAAUUCCUGUAAUAACCAAUCAACAUCAAAAGAUUAAUUUUUCACAUAAAUAGCAAAAGAAAAUAAGAGACAAGAAUUUAUUCAAAUACAAUAUCUCAACUCUACUGUGCAGCCAGUUUCAGCAUAAUUAAAAAAUCAUUUGACUAUUUGCCAAAAACAGAGCAGUUUGUUACUAUCUACCCUAGGCCUGGCCACUGGACUGGAACCAGUGGUUCAGGUCCUGGGGAGGGAGUGAACUGGAACCAGACUGAACCAGUCCAGUUCCAGCUGGUUCCGGCUCCUAACUGGUUUCCAGUACAAAAAUGCUUUGGUCCAUGUGUUGCUCUCUAAAGCUGCCACCUUUAUCUUUAAAAAAAAUUGCUUUGAUCCAGGCCAGAACCAGUGAUUCGAAACCACUGGGUCCAAUUUUUUUUUUAGGGGGGGGGGGUGGUGUGGUGGGGGUUGUGUUCCAGUUCAGGAACUUGAACAAUUGACCUUUUCUGAUUCCAGUCCACUUCAGUGCAUGAAAUGGCCGCUGGCCAGGUCUAAUAUAUACACUGUACACACAAAGCUAACUGAGGUAAAUAAAGGCUUUAAUGAAACCAUAUCCCCUUGAAAACCUUUGAUGCAGCAAUUAUCAUAAUGGAAUAUGCUAAACAAAUGGAUUGCAGUGUAACCCUGCAUUUGGUGCAAUGGAUGGGACAACAUGGAACAAACCAGAACACAAUAGUACUGGACAAGAUCAAAAAAUAGUUAUCCUGUUCAGUAUUUCAUAUACUCAAGAAAAAAAAAAGAUUAAUUUAUACAAAACAACUAUUGGCAUAUUAAAAAAAUAGCACAUAUAUAAGAUGACAUGUAAAUAUUUAUGUAAUAUUAAAUAAGAAAUUUUCAAAAAUUAUUUCAAUUUAUAAUUUAAAAAAAAAAUAUCUUUGUUAUUAUUCUCAAUACUGGAGAAACCUAGUCCCAGACAUGCAGUCAAUGUAAGUAUGGGUGUUCAAGGCUUGGCUAACCAACCCAGCACCCAUAUUUUAAACCUAACCGUUUGAAGCUAGGGAAAUUUAUUCAAAUAAACAGGCAAAUUAACUCUAGGACCAACGCUGAGGGAAAUGGAAGGAAGAGAGAAAGCAUAGCCUUACGUGUAGAUAGCGCAAGACAUAAUUUUGCUUGCACAAUGGCUACCAAAAAAAAAUUUACAGUCUGUUUACUUAUUUUUCAAAUAAAAUACUCUGACAUCAGCGGAUGUAAAGCAUUCUUCUGGCCUCAGACAAUCUUGAAUGGUUAGCAAAGGGCAGGGACUUGGAACUCAGAGAAGUGACACAAGGUGAUUGUUGCCAAAGGUGCUAGAUUCAAAUCAUAUCAAACAAUAAAACAAACUAAAAGAACUGUUUAGAGACUAACCUACCAAAAGAAAUAUAGAAGAAACUGCAUUUAGAACACUAUACAGGAUCAAAAUCAAAGUAGUUAGAAGUUUAUAUUCAACUGUGGAUUUGCAACUCAAGUGAAGUGCAAGGGAGAAUUUCUUAUAUUAGAAACCCCCUAAAAGUAGAAGCUUUAUAUUAAAAUAAUUUUUACAUCUAUCAUUUCAUCAGCUAUGAUAUGGCCAUAACAAGACUUAAAAAGAAAUUACAGGCAUCCUUUCCACUGUAAUUAGAAAAAUAUAUAAAUUCCAGGCGCACUUUGGUGAGAUAAUGCAAGGCUGGGCAUUUGACUAUUGGUUUGGCUGUCGAGGUCUGUGGAUGGGAGGAACUUCACAAUUUCGAGAAAAAGUAUACCAUCGGUGAAACAAAAAAUGGGAUUUAUAUAUAAGAAAACUUUACUAAAGACGAAGAAAGAAGAAUACAAAAUGAAUGCUAAGGUAUCCUCCUAACUUAACUGGAAUUUUAUGUAAUUUGUUCUCAUGGAUCCAUAUUUUCACAAAGGCAAAAUAAUCUGGAGCUUUUCACAGUUUCUUGAGUACUAGACUAGGAAAGAACAUCUUUUUCUCUAUCAGUGUUACUUUAUAUAUGAUUCCUGGUAACCUUUCUUGUGGCAUUCAAAUUAAAUUUGCUGUUUAUCAAUAAAAAGUGAUAAAUAAUAAAACACAACUUCAUAAAUUGAUAAAGAAGAAACAGACAUGAAGAUGCCAAAAUAAUUUCAACUAAAUCUAGGAAACAAGAAUUACCAUAUGCAUUUCCCAUCUCAGUAAUGCUAGAGAUAGAGCAGACGAAUACCAGGCAGACUACUAGCAAAAACCAGUUUAUUACAGGAAUAUAUAUCUGACCCAUGAAUUUUCGAGAUGUAUGAAUGAUUUUAAGACGGGGGAAACAACCAAGUGCAGUUGAUUGUUUUAUGCAAGAAAAAGUGGCUGUUGUCAUGGCUCGGCUGGCAAUCAAAGCAGCUAUAUUAGCAAUGAGGAAAACUGGCCAGAAAGCACCACUUGGAACUGAUGAAAAAAAUGCUUGCUCAGCCACAUCCCCUGUAUGAUUUUCCAUAAGGUAAGCAGCUUGACCCAAAUAACCCAAUAAAAGGCACGGCAAAACGAGAAAUACAAAUGUAAGCUGAAUUGAUCUGACAGAAAAGUAGCAAAGAUCUGCGAACAUUGCCUCAGAACCUGUUGCACAUAGGAGGCAACCUCCGAGGGCAUGCCAAGCCUUAGUAGAAUUCCGCUUGAAGAAGUAAUAGAUGUAAACAGGAUUAAAUGCCCUCACGACACUGCUGUCAUAUUUAACAAGGUUGUAUAUCCCAAUGCCCGCAAGAGAACAAAACCAUAUGAACAAAGCAGGGCCUACUCCAAGUCCCACUUUACUAGUUCCAAACUUCUGUACACUGAACAAAAUUACAAGAAAGGCAACUGAAAUCAUCUUCACUUGAUCUUGUUUGAUUGCAGCCACACCAACCUUUAGACCACCAACAGCUGACAUUACUGACAUCGCUGGUGUAACAACUCCAUCAGCAAUGACCAUAGAUGUACCAGCAAGCACUAAUAUCAGGAGUAACUUUUUCAGAGUCUGUGAAGUCUCAAGUCUUUCUUUGAUUUUGAGUGAUCUCUCAAGUUCAGCUGAUGGCACCUUGAGCCUGAAGCUUGAUAUACGGGCAUCUGAAGGAAGCUGAUUUGGGAGAAGACUGACCUUGGCAUGCCUACAAAUCAGUGAGUACAAGGCAAAAGUGCCACCUUCACCAUCAUCAUUGGCCCAAAGAACAACAAGGACAUAUUUGAUUAGGGGAAUCAAGAUUAAGGUAUAGAGGACCAGUGAUAAUGCACCAAGAACAUCUUCUUUUCCUUUAAUAGGCGCCUUUGUAAACAUCACAUCAAAGGCAUAUAAUGGACUUGUUCCAACAUCACCAAAGACAAUACCAAGUGUCUGAAAAGCAACUAUAAUUUUCCUUCCCACACUGAAGUCCUCGUAGUCAUUACGCUGAGCGCUGGGGAUCUCGAGAGCUUCAACAUCGAAGGAGUCGAUGCGAGGACCAGUACGGAUCAGACGCUGCUCAGCAUUAUCAUCAUCGUCAUCGGAAUCCAAAACAGUGCGGUGGUGAGCACCAUCCUCCUCCUCAUCUUCAUCGUCGUCGUCCAUAACGGAAUCAUCAUCGUCUUGGAAGACCCAACGCGACUCCACAGAGUCCAAAGACGCCAAUCUGCUGUUAAUAUCGGAUCCUCCACCGACACUGCUACCAGUGCCACCAUUCUCCUCUGCCAUCGUAGAGACAGAAGAAGAAAUCUAUAGGGAAAUGAGAUUUAUUUUUGUUGUUUCUAGGGUUUGGUGAUUUGCUUUUUGCUUCUGUGAAUGCGAAACUGAAUGAGAAGUGGAGAAUAGCAGAAAGGAAGGAAGGGCUUUUGGAGAUCACGCGGCGAAAAGAGAAGGAAGAAUUGGAUUGACAAUAAUGAACUAAAAAUAAACUGUAAUUGUUGAGUAACUAACAAAGAGCAAUCGUGCCUACGUUCAGUGGUCUGGUGACCGGUGAGCCUUGAGUGUGCUCGGUGUGAAUCUGGAUCUGUUAAUUGGGCGGGUU
rnacentral:misc_RNA from 1 species